CGGACAUCUUCCUUGGAGUUGACAGUUUGUUGACGGCUCUGCAGAAUUUGGACUCACUAAAGAAGAGGAAUGUGUUUUCUUGGUGCCACUGCCAUCUUAGAGUGAGCCCCCGUCAGCGAGCGCUCUCUGGGAGGAGCGGGACCACGCCCUGUCUGGGGCUUGUUCCUGGGGAGAAGACCUCAUCCCCUGGGCUGGCAGCCUAGGGAGAGUCGCAGAUGCAAGCGGGAACGCCGGAGUAGCAAGUCCUGAAGCAGCUCUGCACCCCCCAAUCACUGGACUUCAGCAGACAUCUUUUUUACCUUCAGCAGGCCCUGGGAGCUCCAGGAGGACCCGCGUAGAACGCCUGCUCCUCCUCUAGCAGUGGCAACCUCUCCCUCAGUUCUCAGAAGAUUCUCUCGGCUGCUCUCACUUUCCUUCAGUCUUCUGUGUGAGCACUUAAUGAAGAACCAUUAAGUAUGCUAGCAGGGAUGGAGCUCUGCCCCUCCCAGACCUAAUGGCGGCUCCCAUGGCCUGAGGCGAGUAGUCCAGCAGGGUGAGGACAACAGAGAUGGACCCUUCGGAAGUACAAGGGUAAGUUAUGUCAACACGUGGCAAUGUUUCAUGUCCUGACAGUUACCUAGACACAGCCAUUUCUGUUCUUAUGAGCUUCCAGUAAUGGGCUCUCCUUCUCCCCUUUCUGCUGGCA